rnacentral:rRNA from 1 species
GACAACUCUAGAGAUAGAGCCUUCCCCUUCGGGGGACAAAGUGACAGGUGGUGCAUGGUUGUCGUCAGCUCGUGUCGUGAGAUGUUGGGUUAAGUCCCGCAACGAGCGCAACCCUUAAGCUUAGUUGCCAUCAUUAAGUUGGGCACUCUAAGUUGACUGCCGGUGACAAACCGGAGGAAGGUGGGGAUGACGUCAAAUCAUCAUGCCCCUUAUGAUUUGGGCUACACACGUGCUACAAUGGACAAUACAAAGGGCAGCGAAACCGCGAGGUCAAGCAAAUCCCAUAAAGUUGUUCUCAGUUCGGAUUGUAGUCUGCAACUCGACUACAUGAAGC